GACGAACGCUGGCGGCGUGCUUAACACAUGCAAGUCGAACGGAAAGGCCUCUUUCGGGGGGUACUCGAGUGGCGAACGGGUGAGUAACACGUGAGUAACCUGCCCUUGACUUUGGGAUAACUUCAGGAAACUGGGGCUAAUACCGGAUAGGAGCUCCUGCUGCAUGGUGGGGGUUGGAAAGUUUCGGCGGUUGGGGAUGGACUCGCGGCUUAUCAGCUUGUUGGUGGGGUAGUGGCUUACCAAGGCUUUGACGGGUAGCCGGCCUGAGAGGGUGACCGGCCACAUUGGGACUGAGGUACGGCCCAGGCUCCUACGGGAGGCAGCAGUGGGGAAUAUUGCACAAUGGGUGGAGGCCUGAUGCAGCAACGCCGUGUGCGGGAUGACGGCCUUCGGGUUGUAAACCGCUUUCGCUCAUGACGAAGCUUUGUGUGACGGUAGUGGGUAAAGAAGCACCGGCUAACUACGUG
rnacentral:rRNA from 1 species